rnacentral:rRNA from 1 species
UACGUAGGGGGCUAGCGUUGUCCGGAAUCAUUGGGCGUAAAGAGCGUGUAGGCGGCCCGGUAAGUCCGCUGUAAAAGUCAAAGGCUCAACCUUUGAAUGUCAGUGGAUACUGCCGGGCUAGAGUCCGGAAGAGGCGAGUGGAACUCCUGGUGUAGCGGUGGAAUGCGCAGAUAUCAGGAAGAACACCAACGGCGAAGGCAGCCCGCUGGGACGGUACUGACGCUAAGGCGCGAAAGCGUGGGGAGCGAACAGG